rnacentral:rRNA from 1 species
AUACGGAGGAUCCGAGCGUUAUCCGGAUUUAUUGGGUUUAAAGGGUGCGUAGGUUGCCGAUUAAGUCAGCGGUGAAAGUCAGUGGCUCAACCAUUGAAUUGCCGUUGAAACUGGUUGGCUUGAGUACGUACGGGGCAGGCGGAAUGCGUGGUGUAGCGGUGAAAUGCAUAGAUAUCACGCAGAACCCCGAUCGCGAAGGCAGCUUACUAAGCUACAACUGACACUGAAGCACGAAAGCGUGGGGAUC